rnacentral:rRNA from 1 species
CCCUACGGGGCGCAGCAGUGGGGAAUAUUGCACAAUGGGGGAAACCCUGAUGCAGCAACGCCGCGUGAGUGAAGAAGUAUCUCGGUAUGUAAAGCUCUAUCAGCAGGGAAGAAAAUGACGGUACCUGACUAAGAAGCCCCGGCUAACUACGUGCCAGCAGCCGCGGUAAUACGUAGGGGGCAAGCGUUAUCCGGAUUUACUGGGUGUAAAGGGAGCGUAGACGGCAGCGCAAGUCCGAAGUGAAAGCCCGGGGCCCAACCCCGGGACUGCUUUGGAAACUGUGAAGCUGGAGUGCGGGAGGGGCC